GUUCUGGACCCAUCUGGGCUGGAGUAUGGGUUGAGCAUGACUGAACUUAUUGAGGCUAUGCCGGUGCCUGCCCUUGUUUGGCCUUUGUCAGGUUCCUCAACUGUCGAGCUGUGCCAAACGGGAAUCACCUCCUUGUGGGGAAAGGCUUAAUGAACUGCUGUGAAAGCGUCGCCUAAAAUUCCUAAACUAUGAGAAUUGAAGCUACGUGAGUGGCAAAAAACAUACUAUUCUAAGCGGUGGAUCACUAGGCUCGUGGAUCGAUGAAAAACGCACCAGGCUGCAAGAAUUAAUGUGAAUUGCAGACACAUUGAACAUCGAUAUUUUGAAUGCACAUUGCGGUGUCGAGUUUUUCUCGUCACCACAUCUGUCCAAGUGUUGGCUCUAUUAGAAUUGCUCCCGCCUCUUAGGAGCAGUAUUGAAUUGGUGAGCAAAAUAUAUGUUUGCCAGUUUUACUAGAAUUGAGAUGUGGGAGCAUAUGGAUGCCCCAUCUCUGUUUCGCCAGAUGCAAAGAAGGUGUGCAUACAUCCACAUCAAAACUCUGACCUUGGAUCAGUUGUGAAUACCCGCUGAAUUUAAGCAUAUAACUAGGCGGAGGAAAG
rnacentral:misc_RNA from 1 species